UAGGUAUCAGUGAACGAAAUCAAACAAUAUUUAUCACACAUAUUGGAACAAAGAACAUCAAGUAGUGUAAUCAAUAAAAGAGAAAAUCUGGAAAAAAAGAAUCAACGUAAAAUAAGAAUAAAAGGAAUUCAAAAUAAAGAUAUUUUGAAGAGAAAUAAGAAUAAUUGGUGAGAAGAAAAGAACAGGACAAGAACUAUGAAAACAGCAGAUAUGAGGAGCAAGAAAGAUGGUGAUUGGCUGCGCUAAACUGAAAAGUUAGUGAAACUUCAAAGUUGGGGGAUUCCAACUGACAUGUUUAAAUCAGCAGUGUCUAAGAUGACCAUUAAAAAUUGUUUUUGUUCCUAGGAUAACUCAUCUUCUCUUUCUGCUCUACGAAAUCUUAGAUAAAAUGUGUAUUCCUCAUAAA
rnacentral:sRNA from 1 species